rnacentral:rRNA from 1 species
UAGCUAGUUGGUGGGGUAAGGGCCUACCAAGGCGACGAUCGGUAGCUGGUCUGAGAGGAUGACCAGCCACACUGGAACUGAGACACGGUCCAGACUCCUACGGGAGGCAGCAGUGGGGAAUAUUGGACAAUGGGGGGAACCCUGAUCCAGCAAUGCCGCGUGUGUGAAGAAGGCCUGAGGGUUGUAAAGCACUUUCAGUGGGGAGGAGGGCUGAUAGGUUAAGAGCUAAUUAACUGGACGUUACCCACAGAAGAAGCACCGGCUAACUCCGUGCCAGCAGCCGCGGUAAUACGGAGGGUGCGAGCGUUAAUCGGAAUUACUGGGCGUAAAGCGUGCGUAGGUGGUUGAUUAAGUUAUCUGUGAAAUCCCUGGGCUUAACCUGGGCAGGUCAGAUGAUACUGGUUGACUCGAGUAUGGGAGAGGGUAGUGGAAUUUCCGGUGUAGCGGUGAAAUGCGUAGAGAUCGGAAGGAACACCAGUGGCGAAGGCGGCUACCUGGCCUAAUACUGACACUGAGGCACGAAAGCGUGGGGAGCAAACAGGAUUAGAUACCCUGGUAGUCCACGCUGUAAACGAUGUCAACUAGCUGUUGGUUAUAUGAAAAUAAUUAGUGGCGC